UAGUCCACGCCGUAAACGAUGAAUGUUAGCCGUCGGGUGGUUUACUGCUCGGUGGCGCAGCUAACGCGUUAAACAUUCCGCCUGGGGAGUACGGUCGCAAGAUUAAAACUCAAAGGAAUUGACGGGGGCCCGCACAAACGGUGGAGCAUGUGGUUUAAUUCGAAGCAACGCGCAGAACCUUACCAGCCCUUGACAUCCCGAUCGCGGAGAGUGGAGACACACUCCUUCAGUUAGGCUGGAUCGGAGAC
rnacentral:rRNA from 1 species